UUACAGCUACCAUUCCAAUCCUUGUGCUGAGCUCAUGGAAACGAACUCUCCCUAAUGCCUUUGUUAGGAACUUAGGAUGUUGAGAGUUGGUCCUAGCUGGUCCUUGGUGCCAAUGAAAUAAGCAAAUAUGCUCCCAUUCUCCAAAAAUUCGGGGAUGAAAUGAUACCGGACAACGAUGCGGACAUACUGUUCAUCUUCAGCUUGAUGGUGUCAGCUUUCUUGCCCUUAUGAUUGCCAAGCAACCAUGCUAGCCAAACGGCUUGGCUUCCCCCAGUUGUUGCAGCGACAUACUCUUCUUUUCAGGAAGACAGUCACAACUUGCUGCUUGACUGAUUGCCAGCUUACCCGGCCGCCGCCGAGGAAGAAUAGAGCUUUGGAUGUGCUCUUCAUGGUGUCAAUGUCGGUCGCUUUCUGAAUGGCCAACCAGUUUUCUUCCCCUAAACUACGCGGACAGGAGAGACCGUACUCUAUUGUGCGGCCAUGUAGCACAACAGCUGCUUCACGGCGCCCAUGUGCUCUGUUAGGAAAUAUGCAACUUGUAUUCCCAUGAGGCCAUAGGCCGAUAUAUAUACAUGUACAGGUGUGGACUAUAUGCAGAGAACCCCUUAUACAAUGGGAUAAGUACGAAGGGGUACAUCGCUAUAUUAUAUAUACUCUUAACACCCCCCCCUCAAACUCAUGGUGGAUGAAUAACACUGAGUUUGGAGAGAUAGAAGCCAUGUUGCACUCUAGUCUGGGCCUUCGUCAGGAAAUUCCCCAAUUGUAACUCGGAAGGCACAUACUGGAGAGCAAUAACCUGAUCCUGCACACCAGCACGCACAUAAAAAGCAUCAACACCAAUGUGCUUGGUGAGCUCAUGCUUCACAGGAUCGCGCGCAAUGCUGAUAGCACCUGUACUGUCAGGUAAGAGCAUAGUAGGUGUAGUGACAGAAACACCAAAAUCCUGAAGUAACCACCGUAACCAAGUCACCUCUGCCGUCAAAAGAGCCAUCGCUCGCAACUCAGCCUCUGCACUCGAACGUGAAACUACGGUCUGUUUCUUCGUCUUCCAGGCAAUGAGAGAACCACCAAGAAAAACACAGUAAGCAGAAAGUGAACGGCGAUCUGAAGGAUCACUAGCCCACGUAGCAUUGGAAUAGACCUGAAGCUGUAAAGAACCGGAGCGAGGAAAGAAUAGACGAUGAGAGAUCGUGCCCCGAAGAUAUCGGAGAACACGAAGGAGGUGACUAUAGUGAACCGAGGUGGGAGCGGAGACAAACUGAAUGAGAAUAUGAACCGGAUAAGAGAUAUCCGGUCGAGUGACAGCUAGAUAGACAAGACUGCCAACAAGAUGACGAUAACGCGUCGGGUCAGGUAGGGGAUCACCAUCAGUAUCACGAAGGUGAACAUUGAGCUCCAUGGGAGUCUCAACAAUGCACUCGUCAAUAAGAGCAGCACGAGCAUGAAGAUCCUGGAUAUACUUUUCCUGGGAUAUAAAAAACCAUCAGAGGUAGAAGAGACUUCAAUCCCAAGAAAGUAACGAAGAGGUCCAUGAUCAGACAUAAGAAACUGCUCACUAAGAUGGGCCUUUACAAAGGCAAUAUACUCGGGGUCAUCACCAGUGAUGAUCAUGUCAUAAACAUAGAGAAGAAGAAGAGUCCGACCACGAGGAGAAAGGAGGACAAAUAAUGCUGGAUCAUGAGCACUGGUUGAAAAACCAGCAGCAAUUACCAUAGAGGCAAAUCGCUCAAACCAGGCGCGGGGGGCUUGCUUAAGGCCAUAGAGAGAGCGACGAAGACGACAUACCAUGCCAUCAGGAACAGAAUACCCAGGUGGUGGCUGCAUGUACACCUCACGCAACUCACCAUUAAGAAAGGCAUUCUUAACAUGAAGCUGAGAUACAGAGGCCACGGCAAGAAGUGUACGAAUAGUGGUCAUAUGGGCCACAGGAGCAAAAUUCUCGUCGUAAUCACGACCAUGCUCUUGCUGAAAGCCACGAGCCACAAGACGAGCUUUAUAACGCUCAAGAGAACCAUCGGAGCGAGUCUUAACCUUGUAGACCCACUUACAAGUGAUGGGACGGACGCCAGGGGGAAGGGAAACAAGAUCCCAUGUACCGGUGCGUUCAAGAGCAGCAAUCUCCUCUGCCAUCGCAAACUGCCAUUCAGGAUGAACAACAGCCUGACGAUAGGAAGUCGGCUCAAGAACAGUAGCACCAGCGGUGGGAAACCCAAGGCGAUCAAUAGGCAGACGAGGCUGAGAACGCAAGGCAUAGGGAGGCUGAGAUGAGGACGACGACACAUCCGCAGAGGCAUCCACAUGACGUGAACGACGAGUGUAACACUGAGGAAAAGAUGGAACAAUGCAAGGAGGGAUCGCCAAGGUAGAAUCGGGGGGUGAAGACGAAGAAGUCACCGGAGAUGAAGGUGCAGAAGCCGGUGACAUGCUAGGGGUGGAAACCGUGGGAGAUGGUGGUGGCAAAUCGGCAAGAGAUGGAGAAGCAGAGGUAGUAGAACGAAUAGACAAAGGCUCGAUGGGCGGUGAGAGGUGUAUCAGGAAAAGUGAGGAAAGAGAUAUCCUCCACUGAAAAGGUCGAGGAGGAUGGGCGUGGGUAGAAGGGACGACACUCAUCAAAAGUCACAUCCCGAGAGAUACGCAUCCGAUGACCGAUAGGAUCCCAACAACGAUAGCCCUUAUGCUCAUCACUAUAGCCUAAGAAGACACACUCAACAGUCUGAGCGGUCAGUUUGGUGCGUUCGCGAGGGGCAAGAAGAACAUAGCAAACACAACCAAACAAGCGAAGCAUCGAAUAAUCAGGAGAACGAUCAAAAAGACGCUCGAAAGGAACACCACCCUGUAGAGUAGCGGAAGGUUGUAGAUUGAUGAGAUAGGUGGAGGUGGAGACGGCUUCAGCCCAAAAAUGAGGCGGGAGAGAGGCAGCAAUCAUUAAUGCACGAGCCGUCUCAAGAAGAUGACGAUGCUUUCGCUCAGCCAUGCCAUUCUGAGUGUGAGCACCAGGACAAGAGAACUGAGAAAGAGUCCCUUGCUCAGCAAGAACACCCCGCAACAUCUUAGAAAUAUACUCGCCAGCAGAGUCAGCACGAAACACACGAUUGGGCGAAGAGAAUUGAGUGUGAACCACGGCAGCAAAACGCUUAUAAAUAGACAACACCUCACUACGAGAAGUCAUGAAAUAAAGCCAUGUGUAAAGAGUGAAAUCAUCUAUGAAAAUAAUAUAGUAUUUAUGACCCCCUUUCGAAGCGAAGGGAGCCGGACCCCAUACAUCAGAAUGGACUAAAUCAAAAGGACGCUUAGACACCGACUCACUAUGCGAAUAUGGUAAUUGAAUCUGCUUGCCAAGACGGCAACCCUGACAUUCUAAAGAGACAUCUCCUGAGACAGACCCCAGAAGACCUCGACGAACUAAAGAUGACAAGCGAGAACCACAAAGAUGACCAAGUCGAUGAUGCCACUGCUGGAAGGAACCGGUAGUAGAGGCGACCGAAGCGGAGGAACUGGCGAUAGUGGUGGCAGCGGAAGGAACAUGAAGCCAGUCUAACUCCCAAAGACCCUGAGAAUCAUGGCGGCGAGGGCCAGCCCCAACCAGAGUGUGCGUGCGACGGUCCUGGAUAGAACAAGAGUCAACGUCAAGAUGACGCGACAACCAGAAUCAGUAAGUUGACCAGCAGAAAACAGAUUCAUGGUAAGUCUAGGAACAUGAGCAACAUCAGGGACAAAAUAAGGAGUGGUAAGAUUGCCUCUACUAACGACAGAAAGAGGAGUACCAUCAACAGUGAGGACAUGAACGGGAGAAUCAAGCGAACGAAGAGAGGACAGAGUGGAAGAAUGAGAAGAACAUAUGAAAAGAAGCUCCAGAGUCCAGAAUCCAUGGGGAUGUACCUGACUGUGUAGAAGGUGGUUGCUCAGUGCGAGAAGCAUCAGUCACAGAACCAGCAGUACCCGUCGAGGAAGAAUCUGAAGCAGCAAGCAGACGCUUAAGUCUCAGAAUAUCCCGCUCAGUCAAAGCGGUGGUUGAAGAUGUCGAGGUAGUAGACGAAGUCCCUGAAGAUGAUGAUCGCGCCUGACGCAGGUGUUUCUUUUUCCAGAAGCACUGAGACUCAACAUGACCAUCCAGGUUGCAGUAGCCGCAAUGUGGACGGGGGCGGCCCGAGCCGCCAGGAGGAGUGGACAAGAGCGGCGGAGCACUCGAGCGAGACGAAGUCGGUGCAGCAUGUGGCGUAGCAGGGGCUCGAGCAGCGAGCAUAGAGGGAAUCUCUAGUAAACCAGCACCACGCAAGCGAGUCUCCUCAGCACGAAUCUCAGAAAGUGCCUCCAUGAGAGAAAUGCGGCCACGAGCAAACAACUGAGCACGUCGGGGCUCAAACUCCUUACGGAGCCGAGACAAAAAUUCGUAGACACGAUGAAACUCCAAAUUGGCCUGUACAGCCUGGCAACAUGGGCAAGUACGACAACCAGCACUGCGGAGAGAAUCAAGCUAGCGCCAGAUAGCAGAACUCUGUGCAUAGAAAUCAUCAACAGUGGAGUCACCUUGCUGAAGAGCAUGCUCCUGACGAACCACAGAGAGGUAUAAGGCAUCACCAGAGGGCUCAUAUCACUGACGAAGACGGGUCCACAUCUCAAAGACAGUAGGAAGACCCAGAAACUCAGAGGCAAACUGGGGCAGAACACUAGCAGUGAGAACAGCUGCAGCACGAGCAUAAUCAUCAAGCCACUGGGUGUAAACAGACAGAGCACCAUGAUACGCCUGAAGAGCCUCCUCAUAAAUCAAAACCUGCUCAUCAUAAGUACGAACAACGGCCUCAUCAGCAAGCUUAGCUGCAUCCUUCGCAGACUGAUUAGCAUCCGCAGGAAGAACCGGUGGCGUCGGCGGAGUGGGGGCCACAGGAGGAACCGGACGUGGUGGACAACGGACUUCGCCAGAAAGAACGCCCCAUAGACGGAUGCCACGCAUGUGAAUGUGCAUGAAGCCAAUGAACUCGGUGUAGUUAGUGCCAUAAAAAAUCACCGGACAACGAGGAACAACAACGUAGCCUGAUGCAGCAGACAUUGUUUUUUUUAGGAAUAUCUCCCGGCGGCAGCAGAGAUGUCCAGCAGUGGAACGGAGCGAACUCGGCUGGAUCUAGGAUCAGCAGCGGCCAGGGCGCUCGAUCCAGAGGAUGGCAGCAGGAUCCGGCGACGGGCGAUUAGAGGAGACCUGGCGGCGAGGUUGACUUGGGGAGGGAGCUGCAGCCGGCGGCUCGGGCGGGAGUUGGAGCUGCAGCCGGGCCACGGGAUCAGGCAGCAACUGGAGACGGCUGAGUCCGGCGAGACGGUGGCGGGAGCUGGCGAUACUGGGGCGAGGCGAACAGAUCGAGAAUCACCAGAUCUGGCAAGAUGGCGGCCUCCAGCGGGGACGCGGUUGGAGCGGGAAUCACCAGAUCGAGGCCAGCCUCCAGCGGGGGCGCGGUUGGAGCGGGACUGAUGGGGUGCCCUCCAGCAGGGAAGAAGAGACAGCCACGAGAUAGUCUUCGGCCGGAACAACCUUCGACGGGAAAGAGGAGACGGCGGCGGCGGCUGUGCAGGGGAUUGGAUCGGGAGGAGCACAUGUUGCGUGUGCUAAACAAAGAACCUAGGUUCUAAUACCAUGUUAGGAAAUAUGCAACUUGUAUUCCCAUGAGGCCAUAGGCCGAUAUAUAUACAUGUACAGGUGUGGACUAUAUGCAGAGAACCCCUUAUACAAUGGGA
rnacentral:lncRNA from 1 species